AUACGGAGGGUGCAAGCGUUGUUUGGAAUUAUUGGGCGUAAAGAGCAUGUAGGCGGACUAUUAAGUCUGGUGUGAAAGCCCGGGGCUCAACCCCGGAAGUGCAUUGGAUACUGGUAGUCUUGAGUAUGGGAGAGGAAAGUGGAAUUCCGAGUGUAGGAGUGAAAUCCGUAGAUAUUCGGAGGAACACCAGUGGCGAAGGCGGCUUUCUGGACCAAUACUGACGCUGAGAUGCGAAAGCGUGGGGAGCGAACAGGAUUAGAAACCCUAGUAGUCC
rnacentral:rRNA from 1 species